rnacentral:lncRNA from 1 species
AUUGGUUUCACUGCAAAGCAGCGUGUCGGCUCAUUUGUAAAGAGACACAUGGAAAUCAGGGCCGAUUCACGGUCAGCAUUUUAAUAACCAUUAGCAAUGCAGAGCGAAAACAAUUUAGCGGCCAGUAGCCAUCGAUUUUAGCGUUGAGCUGCCACUGAUAUGAGCGGCCUGUUUGUUUGCCAGUGGCUCAAAACAAACUUUUUUCUGGGACUUGAUCGGAGAUAGCCCGUCCCCUCCACAAGAGGUCGUUGAUGUAUUAAAUUUUUGCAGUGUUACUCUGCACUGCAAAAAAUAUCCAUAUGACUUAAGGGGUCAUUUAAUCCAGAGUUGAACAUUAAAAUUCACACACAUGACAUAUGCCAACAACGUGAGAGAGCAUCACUCGUUUCCUGCACAAAACAACUUUAUCCGCGGUUAGUGUUGACUAAUUUGGCAUUUUAUUGACACUGGCGCAUGCAGUGACCGGCCUUAUCUUUUCUCAUUUCAAGAUAUUGACACCUUAGGAAACUUCCUAAAACAAGUGAACUUGCAUUAGACAGAAUCGGAAUUACCUCAUCCAGUUGACACUUUUUCCACUUUCUAAAAUAAAAUUAUUUGAAGACAAAUGGAGACUAAAUUACUUGAGCUGGACUUUUUUAGCAGUGCAACCUACAACGCUAAGACAGAACAAAACUCAGGAGACAAAGUUCUGCGGAGGAUAUAAAUUCGUUGAAAAUUGCGCUGCCCGGCUCAAUUGGUUAGACGGUGGAUGUGGGAGCUGCGUCGUGAUUGGUCGGAAGCUCCUCAUUGUCAUGCUGUCAAUCCAAAAUCACAUGGUCCGGCCACUAUUAACAGAUGAGCUUGGCGAACAAGUUUGCAGACUUCUGUUUCAGAGCCGUGGGGGACAGAACAGCGCUCAGCGGAGAGAAAGCAGAAGCACCUGCACACUCUUUUGCCUCUUUGGGCAGAACUUUUUUCACCUGCUUAUGAGACUGGUCAGUAUCUCUACCUCUUUGACUUUUUGGCGGUGUUUUGGUUGUGAACUUUUUUUUUUUACGUGCCCGUGAGU